UGGAAUACGCAGAGAGCAACGUGGUCGAGAAAAGAACCAGAACUCAGCAGCAGAAUGUGAAUGGCCACUGCAGAUACGUGGUCAGGAAGAAUGACACGUUCACAAGCUCACACUCAGAUAAAAGGUUGUUUUGUGCUUCUAUCAAAUGUGCUCGGGUGAUGACCUGCCUGUUCUGAUCUACAAUAGUUUUGUUUGCUGCCCUAUCUCUAGUGCCUCCAGUGUGCCUACCACAUACAAAGGAAAUUGAACACGAAAGGAGAAGCCAUGAGGAGCAGCCAGAAGCUGGAAAUUGGUAGAACCCAGAAGAGAAAGAAGACAGAUCACCAGGUGAUGGAAAAGCCCCCAAAAUCCAAGGAGUGCUAGCAGCCAGCCCCAGAAUGUCUUUGAGGAUGAACAUUGCUUUGCUGCCACCUCGAUUUUGGACUUCUCCUAGCCUCUAAACUGUGAGCCAAUAAAUGCCCUUUUUUUAAGCUAACCCAUGUAUGGUAUUUGUUUUAGCAUAUGAGAAACUAAUACUUUUUCGAGUAAUGCUUGCAAAAAAAAAAAUAUAUAUAUAUAUAUAUGCAUAUAUAUAUAUAUAUGCAUAAUGCUCAUUAGAAUUGCUGCCCAUGAGCUCAUAAAUGAAUUUUUCAGAGUACUGUUCUUUUAAAUGUCUGAACUUUUAAAUACUUUGAGAGAAAAUUUCCCCAAAUGGAUCACUUGUUGUGAUGUCUUUUUUAUGAUCAACACCUCUAAAAUUUUAAAUAUUUUUUAACGGCUUUGAGAUUAAUGAAUCAACACUGAAGCUUGUAGGAUGCUUUGGCUGUGUACCACAAAGGCCCUUGCCAGCUUUGAUUUUUUAAUUCUUCUGUCAACUCUCAUUUUUCUGUUUAUUUUCAGCUACUACUUUUUCCUUAUAGCAGUAUGCAAAAUAUCUAAAGUUCCUCCAGUAUUUCCUCUUCUGACUUAAGAGUAAGUGGGUAGUGUUUAAAUACCAAAAGGGUUCCUGAAAGUAAUGGGCUUUGUAACUUUCACACUGGUUUUGGUGAGCAUGACCCAGCAAACAGCUAUAUUAGAGAAAAUGAAGACAAAUACAGUAUUACUGAUUUCCAUAUACUUCAGCCAUUCUUGGAAAUAUACACACACAUAAAAGGACUGUUAUUCUUGGGGCAUGGGUGGGCUUCAGAGCCACUUAAAUUGUAUAUAAAAAUUUGAGUAAAUGUGAAUUCUUCUGGGAUGAGGGGUUACAGUUUUCAUCACAGUCUCAAAGAUAUCAAAGACUCAAAAAAAUUUAAUAAAUAAGACACUGUGGUGAUGAACGCGUAACUAUGUUAUCAUACUGUGGACAGUGGAUUGUAUAUCAUGGAUGAUUGUAUGGUGUGUGAAUGUAUU